rnacentral:rRNA from 1 species
GAUGAACGCUAGCGGCAGGCUUAACACAUGCAAGUCGAGGGGUAGAAGUCUUCGGACUUUGAGACCGGCGCACGGGUGCGUAACGCGUAUGCAAUCUGCCUUGUACAAAGGGAUAGCCCAGAGAAAUUUGGAUUAAUACCUUAUAGUAUAUAGAUGUGGCAUCACAAUUAUAUUAAAGAUUUAUCGGUACAAGAUGAGCAUGCGUCCCAUUAGCUAGUUGGUAUGGUAACGGCAUACCAAGGCAAUGAUGGGUAGGGGUCCUGAGAGGGAGAUCCCCCACACGGGUACUGAGACACAGACCAGACUCCUACGGGAGGCAGCAGUGAGGAAUAUUGGUCAAUGGGCGCAAUCCUGAACCAGCCAUGCCGCGUGCAGGAUGAAGCAUCUAUGGUGUGUAAACUGCUUUUGUACGGGAAGAAACACCUCUUCGUGAAGAGGCUUGACGGUACCGUAAGAAUAAGGAUCGGCUAACUCCGUGCCAGCAGCCGCCGUAA